rnacentral:rRNA from 1 species
UGACAGUACUCCUACGGGGAGGCAGCAGUGGGGGAAUAUUGCACAAUGGGCGCAAGCCUGAUGCAGCCAUGCCGCGUGUGUGAAGAAGGCCUUCGAGUUGUAAAGCACUUUCAGUCGUGAGGAAGGUAGUGUAGUUAAUAGCUGCAUUAUUUGACGUUAGCGACAGAAGAAGCACCGGCUAACUCCGUGCCAGCAGCCGCGGUAAUACGGAGGGUGCGAGCGUUAAUCGGAAUUACUGGGCGUAAAGCGCAUGCAGGUGGUUUGUUAAGUCAGAUGUGAAAGCCCGGGGCUCAACCUCGGAAUAGCAUUUGAAACUGGCAGACUAGAGUACUGUAGAGGGGGGUAGGAAUUUCAGGUGUAGCGGUGAAAUGCGUAGAGAUCUGAAGGAAUACCGGUGGCGAAGGCGGCCCCCUGGACAGAUACUGACACUCAGAUGCGAAAGCGUGGGGAGCAAACAGGAUUAGAUACCCUGGUAG